AAGGAUAUGUUUUCAGGGAUCAUUUCUAUAGUUUGUUACUAGAGAAGUUUCUCCAAUUAUGUAGAGUACUGAAGCUGCCCUUGGAUGAAGUCUGUCUCAGUUUUGCUCUCUUUAUUGCAAAGUUGUUUCAAGU
rnacentral:snoRNA from 1 species